rnacentral:rRNA from 1 species
UACGUAGGUGGCAAGCGUUGUCCGGAAUUAUUGGGCGUAAAGCGCGCGCAGGCGGUCCUUUAAGUCUGAUGUGAAAGCCCCCGGCUCAACCGGGGAGGGUCAUUGGAAACUGAAGGACUUGAGUACAGGAGAGAAGAGUGGAAUUCCACGUGUAGCGGUGAAAUGCGUAGAUAUCUGGAGGAACACCGGUGGCGAAGGCGGCAUCCUGGACCAACACUGACGCUGAGUGAGCGAAAGCCAGGGGAGCAAACGGG